AACCUGGUUGAUCCUGCCAGUAGUCAUAUGCUUGUCUCAAAGACUAAGCCAUGCACGUCUAAGUACAAACUAAAUGAUGGUGAAACUGCAAAUGGCUCAUUACAACGGUUAUGAUGUACCCGGGAGUUCCGAUGGAUAUUUCCAGUAACACUAGAACUAAUACAUGUCCCUGCGUUUAUUAGUUUCACACAGUCCGUCGCUGAGUCAUGGUAAACAGUUGAUCGACUCGACGUCCCGGAACAGUUUCCGCCCCAUCAGCUUCGAUGGUUGGGUAUUGGCCUACCAUUGCAACAACGGGUAACGAGGAAUUAGGGUUUGAUUUCGGAGAGGGAGCCUGAGAAACGGCUACCACAUCUACGGAUGGCAGCAGGCGCGCAAAUUACCCAAUGCAGACACUGUGAGGUAGUGACGAGAAAUAAUAAAGCGGGACUUCUGUUUCGCUAUUAUAAUGAGUAACAACCAAAGGUCGUUACGAUUAGCAACUGAUGGGAAAGUCUGGUGCCAGCAGCCGCGGUAAUACCAGCGUCAGUAGCAUAUAUUAAAAUUGUUGCAGUUAAACGUCCGUAGUCUGUACGUCGUCCCAAACUCACUGCAGUCUUGCGUCUUCUUCACUGAAUGCGCAAGUAUCUGCAGUCACUCCCUUGAUCAAAUUAGGUUGUUCAAGGUAGACAGAGGCUUCAUAUUUUCACAUGGAAUUGGGUGAGGGAACUUAAGAGUUUAAGUUUCUCGUCUUAGGAUCAUCCGGGGUCAUUCGUACUCGUCCGCGAGAGGUGGAAUUCUUGGACCGGGCGAAGACGACCAGCAGCGAAAGCAUCUGUCAGGGAUGUUUUCUGCGACAAAGGACGAAGGCCAGGGUAUCGAAGACGAUUAGAUACCGUCGUAGUCCUGACUGUAAACUAUGCCAACUUGGGUCUUGCUGGGCUAAUGCUUUGUGAGACCCACACAGAAAUGAAAGUGUAUGGGUUCUGGGGGUAGUAUGGACACAAGUCUGAAACUUGAAGGAAUUGACGGAAGAGCACCAUAAGACGUGGAGCUUGCGGCUUAAUUUGACUCAACGCGGGAAAACUUACCAGGUCAAGACAUGGGCGUGAUUGACAGGCUAAUGACUUUUCUCGAUUCCAUGGAUGGUGGUGCAUGGUCGCACUUAGUUGGUGCAGUGAUUUGUCAGGUUUAUUCCGGUAACGAACGAGACCUCGGCCUUGUAAAUAGCUUUGCUGCUUACAGGGACAUUGGCGGCUACGCCAAGGAAGUUCGAGGCAAUUGCAGAUCUGGAAUGCCCUUAGAUGUCCUGGGUCGCACGCGUGCUACAAUGACGCCACGAGCGAGGUUGCGUGACGAAAGUUACGCAUAAUCAGCAGUCGGCGUCUUAAGGGACAGUCUCUUGACACUGUGGGACUCUAACUAGGAAUGUCUCGUAAGCACAAGUCAACAUCUUGUGUUGAUUACGUCCCUGCUCUUUGUACACACCGCCCGUCGCUCCUACCGAUCGAGUGUUUAGAUGAAUUUGAUGGACAUGAGGAAGUCAAAUAAAUCUGAGCACUUAGAGGAAGGAGAAGUCGUAACAAGGUUUCCGUAGGUGAACCUGCAGAAUGAUCCUUC
rnacentral:rRNA from 15 species